GUUGGGCACUAGGUGUGGGGGACAUUCCACGUUCUCCGCGCCGUAGCUAACGCAUUAAGUGCCCCGCCUGGGGAGUACGGCCGCAAGGCUAAAACUCAAAGGAAUUGACGGGGGCCCGCACAAGCGGCGGAGCAUGCGGAUUAAUUCGAUGCAACGCGAAGAACCUUACCAAGGCUUGACAUUCACCGGACCGCACUGGAGACAGUGCUUCCCUUCGGGGUCGGUGGACAGGUGGUGCAUGGUUGUCGUCAGCUCGUGUCGUGAGAUGUUGGGUUAAGUCCCGCAACGAGCGCAACCCUCGUUCUAUGUUGCCAGCACGUGAUGGUGGGGACUCAUAGGAGACUGCCGGGGUCAACUCGGAGGAAGGUGGGGAUGACGUCAAAUCAUCAUGCCCCUUAUGUCUUGGGCUUCACGCAUGCUACAAUGGCCGGUACAAAGGGUUGCGAUACUGUGAGGUGGAGCUAAUCCCAAAAAGCCGGUCUCAGUUCGGAUUGAGGUCUGCAACUCGACCUCAUGAAGUCGGAGUCGCUAGUAAUCGCAGAUCAGCAACGCUGCGGUGAAUACGUUCCCGGGCCUUGUACACACCGCCCGUCAAGUCACGAAAGUUGGUAACACCCGAAGCCGGUGGCCUAACCCCUUUGUGGGAGGGAGCCGUCGAAGGUGGGACUGGCGAUUGGGACUAAGUCGUAACAAGGUAGCCGUACCGGAAGGUGCGGCUGGAUCACCUCCUUU
rnacentral:ncRNA from 1 species